UACGUAGGGGACGAGCGUUGUCCGGAAUUACUGGGUGUAAAGGGCGUGUAGGCGGGAAGGCAAGUCAGAUGUGAAAGCCCAUGGCUUAACUGUGGAACUGCAUCUGAAACUGUUUUUCUUGAGUACUGGAGAGGAAAGUGGAAUUCCUAGUGUAGCGGUGAAAUGCGUAGAGAUUAGGAGGAACACCAGUGGCGAAGGCGGCUUUCUGGACAGUAACUGACGCUGAGGCGCGAAAGCGUGGGGAGCAAACAGGAUUAGAUACCCCUGUAGUCCCU
rnacentral:rRNA from 1 species